rnacentral:tRNA from 1 species
UUAGCUCAGUAGGUAGAGCAACUGACUUGUAAUCAGUAGGUCACCAGUUCGACUCCGGUA